GCGCGAGCAGCGUGUGCUUUAUUUGUGUCUUUUCGACUUUUGUGCGGUUGACCAUGGCCCAAUACGUGUAUACUAGGCAGAACUGUACAGUUGCGUGCUGAAAUUUCGAGCUGUGCUUCUGACUGCUAUUUGUGGUACGUUUGUUCGCCUUGCGGAGCGCUUACGGGAAUACUCGGGAGGCAAUGUUUUGAUGGUUAAUUUUCACACAUGUUUGUAUCGCUUGGUUUCCUGCGUUCCUCUUCAAGUGUCAGGGAUAUUUCUCAAUUGCAAUGCCUAUCUCUAAGUCUCUGGCAGCAUUAUGUUAUUGGCACUUUUGUGAUCUGAGAAGCUGCCUGACCAAGUUGCCUAUCAAGAUGAACAUUCCAUAUCUGGAUUCUGCUUGCGUGGAAUUUAUUUCACCAUAUAUUUUUCAAUGCAGCUAGAAAUUACUGGCUUCUAUCUUGAAUCCGGUGGCCCCAGAAGCAAGUGCUGGCAAGCAGGCCAUGCGCUUUGGUCAUUAAUUAGUAUGUUAUACUACCUCUUACUAAUCAGUUUUAUUCUUUUUAAUUAUAAUUGUGGCACUGUGCCUACUAGUCAUUUUGUGCCUACUCGUUACUUGUGUUUUAAUGAAGUUUAAUUUUCAAGAAUCUGUUUUUGAUUACGUUUUUUUUUUUUUCGAUCCGCGUUUAACCUGUUUGUAUACAGCGAGAACAUGUAAUGAAUAAUUUCAUACAUGUGCGUGGCUGGGGGCCGAUCAUUUUUGUAAUGAAGCUUUAUCAGUUGUAUAAAUAAAAAAGUAACAUUGGUAUGA